rnacentral:rRNA from 1 species
CUAGUCUUAUCGGUGGAUCACUCGGCUCGUAGGUCGAUGAAGAACGCAGCUAAAUGCGAUAAAUAGUGUAAACCGCAGAAACCUUGAACACAAAAAAUUCGAAUGCACAUUGCACCAUGGGAGUCUUAUCCCUUGGUACGCCUGGUUCAGGGUCGUA